rnacentral:rRNA from 1 species
AGUGAACGCUGGCGGUAGGCCUAACACAUGCAAGUCGAACGGCAGCACCGUAGCGAUUGCCCCUCCGGGUCGUGAGUGGCGGGAGGGUGCGGUAAACAUCGGAAUCUCCCUUUUCGUGGGGUGCUAAGUCGGGAAAAUUUCGUCAAUACAGCAUACGAUCUCCGGGUGAAAGCAGGGGAUUUUAGGACCUUGUGGGUAUGAAUGAGGCCAUGGUGGAUUAGGUAGUUGGCAGGGUAAAGGACUACCAAGGCGACGAUACAUAGCUGGUCAGAGCGGCUGAUCAGCGACACUGGGACUGAGACACGGUGCAGAAUACUACGGGAGGCAGCAGUGGGGAAUAUUGGAAAAUGGGGGGAAGGCUGAUCACGCAAUGCCGCGUGAGUGAUGAAGGCGUUAGGGUUGUAAAGCUCUUUUACACGGGAUGAUAAUGACAGUACCGGGAGAAUAAGCUCCGGCUAACUCCGUG